CUCAUAUUAAAUAAAAAUAAUUUACAAUAAAUAACGAGAGUGACGGGCGAUGUGUACACACCUCAGGGCCAAUACCAAUUAAAUUAAAUAAUUUAAAUUACUAUCAAAUCCACCUUCAUUAAAAAAAUUACAAAAUUAAAUUCGUAAUAAAAAAAAAUUAUUGUAACCCAUCAUACUCUUAAUUAUAAGCUGCACCUUGACCUGAAAUAAAUUUUAAUUCAAAAACAAGAAAAUUAUUACUCCAAAAAGAUUUUCUGAUAACGGAGAUAUACAAACAAAUAAAUUAAGUAAAGUUAAUCGUGUACUAUCAAUUACGAGAUAGGUUCCUCUGAAUGGAAUGAAAUACCGCCAAAUUCUUUGGGUUUAAAGACCUUAACUAAUACUACCCAGGUAAAACAAAAUUUACACUUAAAAUAAUA
rnacentral:rRNA from 1 species